rnacentral:rRNA from 1 species
AUACGGAGGAUGCGAGCGUUAUCCGGAUUUAUUGGGUUUAAAGGGUGCGUAGGUGGCUUUUUAAGUCAGCGGUGAAAACUGGCGGCUCAACCGCAAGAGUGCCGUUGAAACUGGGGAGCUAGAGUAUGAACGAGGUAGGCGGAAUGUGUGGUGUAGCGGUGAAAUGCAUAGAUAUCACGCAGAACUCCGAUAGCGAAGGCAGCUUACCAGGCCAUAACAGACACUGAAGCACGAAAGCGUGGGGAUCGAACAGGAUUAGAUACCCUGGUAGUCCACGCAGUAAACGAUGAUUACUAGGAGUGUGCGAUAAACAGUAAGCUCUCGAGCGAAAGCGUUAAGUAAUCCACCUGGGGAGUACGCCGGCAACGGUGAA